rnacentral:misc_RNA from 1 species
GAUGAAGAACGCAGCGAAAUGCGAUAAGUAAUGUGAAUUGCAGAAUUCAGUGAAUCAUCGAAUCUUUGAACGCAUCUUGCGCUCCUUGGUAUUCCUUGGAGCAUGCCUGUUUGAGUAUCAUGAGCAAAUCUCAAAGUCAAUUCCUUUUGUUGAUUCAAUUGGUUUUGCUUUGGACUUGGAGGCCUUGCAGAUUUCACAGUCUGCUCCUCUUAAAUGCAUUAGCUGGAUCUCAGUAAUUAUGCUUGGUUCCCCUCGGCGUGAUAAGUAUCACUCGCUGAGGACACUGUUAAAAAGGUGGCCAGGAAAAUACUGAUUGAACCGCUUCUAACGGUCUAUUAAGUUAGACAAUUACCCUUAAGUUUGAUCUCAAAUCAGGUAGGACUACCCGCUGAACUUAAGCAUAUCAAUAAGCGGAGGA